GGUAGUAAUGCCUAGGAAUCUGCCUGGUAGUGGGGGACAACGUUUCGAAAGGAACGCUAAUACCGCAUACGUCCUACGGGAGAAAGCAGGGGACCUUCGGGCCUUGCGCUAUCAGAUGAGCCUAGGUCGGAUUAGCUAGUUGGUGAGGUAAUGGCUCACCAAGGCGACGAUCCGUAACUGGUCUGAGAGGAUGAUCAGUCACACUGGAACUGAGACACGGUCCAGACUCCUACGGGAGGCAGCAGCC
rnacentral:rRNA from 1 species